AACGAACGUUGGCGGCGUGCUUAACACAUGCAAGUCGAGCGCGAAUCCUUGCUUCGGCGAGGUAGUAGAGCGGCGAACGGGUGAGUAACACGUGAGUAGUCUACCUUCAAGUUUGGGAUAACGACCCGAAAGGGUUGCUAAUACUGGAUAAGACCACAACGCCCUUGGGUGAUGUGAGAAAAGGCCUCGGUCGCUUGAAGAUGAGCUCGCGUCCCAUUAGCUAGUUGGUGAGGUAAUGGCUCACCAAGGCUUCGAUGGGUAGCUGGUUUUAGAGGACGAUCAGCCACACUGGAACUGAGACACGGUCCAGACUCCUACGGGAGGCAGCAGUGGGGAAUCUUGCGCAAUGGGCGAAAGCCUGACGCAGCAACGCCGCGUGAGUGAUGAAGGCCCUCGGGUCGUAAAGCUCUGUCCUGGGAGAAGAAUUUUGACGGUAUCCCAGAAGAAAGCACCGGCUAACUCCGUGCCAGCAGCCGCGGUAAUACGGAGGGUGCAAACGUUGUUCGGAAUCAUUGGGCGUAAAGGGCGCGUAGGUGGCGAUGUAUGUCUGAUGUGAAAGCCCGAAGCUUAACUUCGGAAGUGCGUCGGAAACUGCAUCACUUGAGUCUCGGAGAGGAU
rnacentral:rRNA from 1 species